CGGGUCUUUCGUGUAAAAGAGUGUAUUCUCAGUGGAAUCAAAUGGAAAAAAUAAACGCACAAUUAAAGCUGUUCAGGAUGUGCAGGAGAUUAAAAAUUCUCCUGUGAUGGACUACUGCUAAUCAGUAUCAUAGCCUGCUGUGUAAUGAGGAGUGAAACUUGAUUGAUCUCAGCACCUUUCUUCCUGUCACAUUGCAAGAACAGUGUCUCGCUAUUUAUACAGCAUGUCAUUGUACUCGCUAACGUGAUAAUAGUUUCUAACAUUAAGCUGAUUAUAUACAGCUGCAAUCAAAAUGAUUCGACCCCCAUUGCAAAUCAGGUUUAUUGUCAAAAUUGACAAACUUUCAGCUGUUUGCAACGAACAAAUCAAACAAAAGCAAUUGCGGUUUCCCCAAAUUCAACUGGAAAUGCAACUUUCCAAGGCGUGGUUGCAGAAGAAGUCCUGGAAAAUUCUACAGGGCCAUCACGGUCAUCUGACUUGAACCCCAUAGAAGAUCUCUGGUGGGAUUUGAAGAAGGCGGUUGCAGCGCACAAACCAAAGAAUAUUACUGAACCGGAGGCCAUUGCUCAUGAGGAAUGGGCUAAGAUUCCUCAGGAACACUGCCAGAAGCUCUGCAUCUCGUAUUCAGCAGAACAUAACAGCAAAAAUGUGCUCUACUAAGUACUAAAGAUGCUUGCCAUGAAGGGGUUGAAUAGUUUUAUAAACUGGAGAAAUCAUUCUAAGUUGCAUUUUUCAGUUGAAUUUGGGGAAACCACUUGAAGCAUUCAUUGUGUUGAACUAUUUCAAUUGUUUGAUUUGUUCAUUGCAAACAGCUGAAAGUGUGAGAAUUUUGACAGUAAAUCUGAUUUGCAAUGGGGGUUGAAUAAUUUUGAUUGCAACUGUAGAAACGGCUCAUUUAUCAUGUUAACUCUGGAUCAAAUAUAUUUUGGCACUGGUGCUGUAAAAUGGUUGUAUAUCUCCCUGAUGUUCCAGUUAAGAAAACAAACAAAACAAAAAGUGUUAUAUGGCACCGAUGAUGGAUGUGAUGUGUAGACCUAAAUGUUGGUGCUAAAACCAGUGCGUUCAGUCCACAGUAGGACGGGUCGAGUGAAUGUCAGAACGGUGUGUUGGUGUGAUUCGAUGAGAAGCUACAUGUUUGGGAAUCCUAUCAUUUAAAACCAUUCUGGUGCACCUCCUGCCCUUUCCAGCUCUCCUGCUUGUUGUUGCUAUGACAGUGACAUAUGAAGAUAAUAACUGCAGUUAGAGUGCAACGUCUUUGUACACAGAAGGUGCUUGGUUGUUUUCUGGGGAUUCAAAAUACGUGAUGUCGGCAAAGUUCCAUCGGAAAAUAGAGAUCGAGAUGGAGUUUAGUCAGAUUGGUGCAGUUUUUUUUGUUUGUUUUUUUUCUUUGUUCAGGUCAAAACACAGCAAUCGCAGUGGGUGUGUGCCAAAACAGCCGGUCUGAGCAUCUGGAGUGUGCGAGGUGGACUCGCUCUGCUUCCAAGUCAACUCCAGGAUGGUUCAUUUGCAGUGAGAAAGCGAUUCGACUCUGAAUCACUUCACUUACUGCCAUGUGUUUUGGGUUGCAGGUAGAAUUAUUUUGUAGAUGCAAAGGUGCAAACUGAGCCAAAGAACACAAAUUUAGCAACUGUGGCUCAGGUGGUAGAGCGGGUUGUCCACUAAUCGUAGGGUUGGCAGUUUGAUUCCCGGCCCACGUGACUCCACAGCCCAAAGUGUCCUCGGGCAAGACACUGAACUCCAAGUUGCUCCCCAUGGCAAGUUAGCGCCUUGCAUGGCAGCUCUGCUACCAUUGGUGUGAGUGUGUGUGUGUGUGUGUGUGAGUGUGUGUGUGAGUGUGUGAGUGUGUGUGUGUGUGUGAGUGUGUGAGUGUGUGUGUGAGUGUGUGUGAGUGUGUGUGUGAGUGUGUGUGUGUGUGAGUGUGUGUGUGUGAGUGUGUGUGUGUGAGUGUGUGUGUGUGAGUGUGUGUGUGUGAGUGUGUGUGUGUGAGUGUGUGUGUGUGAGUGUGUGAGUGAGUGUGUGAGUGAGUGUUUGUGUGAGUGAGUGUGUGAGUGAGUGAGUGAGUGAGUGGAGUGAUGUGAGUGAGUGAGUGUGUGAGUGUGAGUGUGUGAGUGUGUGUGUGUGUGUGUGAGAGUGUGUGUGUGUGAGUGAGUGUGUGUGUGUGAGUGAGUGUGUGUGUGUGAGUGUGUGUGUGUGAGUGUGUGUGUGUGAGUGUGUGUGUGUGAGUGUGUGUGUGUGAGAGUGUGUGUGUGAGAGUGUGUGUGUGAGAGUGUGUGUGUGAGAGUGUGUGUGAGAGUGUGUGUGUGAGAGUGUGUGUGUGAGAGUGUGUGUGUGAGAGUGUGUGUGUGAGAGUGUGUGUGUGAGAGUGUGUGUGUGAGAGUGUGUGUGUGUGAGAGUGUGUGUGUGUGAGUGAGUGUGUGUGUGUGAGUGAGUGUGUGUGUGUGAGUGUGUGUGUGUGAGUGUGUGUGUGUGUGUGAAUGGGUGAACGAGACACCGUGUAAAGCGCUUUGGAAGCGCUAAUGUUAAAAAAGCGCUAUAUACGUGCAGACCAUUUAGUGCUGCAGAAACGGACCCCAUUGUGGUAAACAAAAUGUUUACAGUUAGUUCAUUGUAUAAUUAAAUAAUUUAAUUCAAUUGAAAGUUAUUGAGUGCCAGUAAUAUUUGCCGAAGUAAUAUUUGUGAUCCGUAUGCACCACUGACGAAUGUCUGUUUGCCGUUUUCUGCCGUUAAAUCUCUGACGAAUGAACGGAAGAGUUCUGUGAGUACAUUUUCAGCCCUACGUGACCAAAUAGCAAAUGAACUAAAAGUGUCCUUUGAUUUGGGUUCAAGCAACCGACUAGUCAUUGUUUCUAUAGCAUGUAUAUCCAAGAAAAAAACUAAACUGCAGCUCUCCAUAGAGCGAUUUUGUGGCUGAGGGAAAAGAACGAUGCUUAUUAAAAACCCUGAAAUGGCCUUCAACCAUCAAAACAAAAAAAAAGGUUCACUGAUAAAACCAUUAAUAACUUAAAUCACUUUGAUAAAAUCGAAAAGAAACCAGAGAAACGUCUAAUCGUGCAAGCUUUCUAAAUAAAGGAUUGACAUUUGUAUGUGUCAAACGGCCAUCUUAGGAAUUCUGGAAGUCAUGCUGGACUUACAUCAACAGCACUGCAAUCUGUGCAUCUUUAGAGUACGACAAGGGAGAGUACGGGGUAAAGCGUCUUGCUCUAGUUGUUAUUACAUAGCUUUUAUAGGAAAGGGCUCCGGGGGAAUUUGUAGAGAGAGUGGAAAGGGAAUGGUGCUCAUAACCACGAUAAAAGCUCUCCUGGGGCCGGAGAGACACUUUAAGUCCACUGACCAUCAUGAUCAGACUGAGAUUUCAUGGCAAUGAGUUGUCUUUCAUAAAAAUCCAUGAUGGAAGAAAUUGUUUCCAGUUCUACAGGGAGGCGCUCGGGGUACUCUCAGUCUCUCUGGCUCUUUCCAAUACCCUACAUGAGCAGUUAUCCCCGAGCAUUUUAUUCUAUUAUUUAUUUUAUUUCUUCAGAUUAAUACUUGAUUCCGCUUAAAUACGUAACUGAAUUUUGUCAGCCACUGUUAUUUAUUUAAAUGAGUCAGACGUGUCGGUGAACAAGAGGCAUGUCGGGAGUUCAUGUUGAAUUCGUAUUGCGUGCACAUAUUUCAUUCAGAUCUUACCGCCGCCUCCACUGAAUCGUGCAUUUUUGCAUUAGAGUUAAGCAAACACUUUAAUCGAGCCACUUAAUUAGCCGACGCCGAGCACUAUAAACGAUGCUGUGGUAAAAUGAAGUGAUUGUGAAUGGUUGAAAUGUCAUGUUGAGAGUGCCGUGUUUUGUAAAGUGCCUAAUUCCCGCAGUCUGAGGUUUAUGUGGGAUGAUGCUACAGUGUCCCCUCUGAUUACUAUAAAUCUUUAUCACUUGCCUGCUGGCAAUAGACUGCUCGUGUGAAGAGGGCUACCAGUUUAGGUUCUUGCCAGCCAUAAAAAAAAAAAAAAAAACCCACACCUGGCUAGCAUGAUCUUGGCUGCUUUCAAUAGUUUACAUGCUAUGUUAUAUUUCAAAAUCCCACCACCAUUAUUUUCAAUUAUGACCGUGGACGAUUAUUAUUAAUUGCCUUAAUUCAUUUUGAAGGGAACAAUUGUCAGAGUAUAACCAGCAAAUUAGACCGUCA
ensembl:lncRNA